rnacentral:rRNA from 1 species
UACGUAGGUGGCAAGCGUUGUCCGGAUUUACUGGGCGUAAAGAGCUCGUAGGCGGUUUGUCGCGUCGUGCUGUGAAAACUCAGGGCUUAACUCUGAGCUUGCAGUGGGUACGGGCAGACUAGAGUGUGGUAGGGGAGACUGGAAUUCCUGGUGUAGCGGUGAAAUGCGCAGAUAUCAGGAGGAACACCGAUGGCGAAGGCAGGUCUCUGGGCCAUAACUGACGCUGAGAAGCGAAAGCAUGGGGAGCGAACAGG